UUUCAUUUGUGUUUACCGAUUUCCAGUUCCGCACCUUUUUCCUUUUCCUUUUCCUUUUCCUUCUCCUUCUCCUUCUCCUUCUCCUUCUCCUUCUCCUUCUCCUUCUCCUUCUCCUUCUCCUUCUCCUUCUCCUUCUCUUUUCUUUCUCCUUUUUUCUUUCUCCUUUUUUCUUUUUUCCUUUUCCUUUUCCUUUUCCUUCUCCUUCUCUUUCUCCUUCCCCUUCUUCUCCUUUUUUCUUUUUCCUUCUCCUCCUCUUUUCCUUCUCCUUCUCCUUCUCCUUCUCCUUCUCCUUCUCCUUCUCCUUCCCCUUCCCCUUCCCCUUCCCCUUCUCCUCCUUUUUUCUUUUUCCUUCUCCUUCCCCUUCCCCUUCUCCUCCUUUUUUCUUUUUCCUUCUCCUUCUCUUUCUCCUUCUCCUCCUUCUCUUUUCCUUUUCCUUUUCCUUUUCCUUUUCCUUUUCCUUUUCCUUUUCCUUUUCCUUUUCCUUUUCCUUUUCCUUUUCCUUUUCCUUCUCCUUCUCCUUCUCCUUUUCCUUUUCCUUUUCCUUUUCCUUUUCCUUUUCCUUUUCCUUUUCCUUUUCCUUUUCCUUUUCCUUUUCCUUUUCCUUUUCCUUUUCCUUUUCCUUUUCCUUUUCCUUUUCCUUUUCCUUUUCCUUUUCCUUNNNNNNNNNNNNNNNNNNNNNNNNNNNNNNNNNNNNNNNNNNNNNUUCUCCUUCUCCUUCUCCUUCUCCUUCUCCUCCUUUUUUUCUUUCUCUUUUUCUUUCUCCUUCUCCUUCUCCUUCUCCUCCUUUUUUCUUUUUCCUUUUCCUUCUCCUCCUUUUCCUUUUCCUUUUCCUUCUCCUUCUCCUUCUCCUCCUUUUUUCUUUUUCCUUUUCCUUCUCCUCCUUUUCCUUUUCCUUUUCCUUCUCCUUCUCCUUCUCCUCCUUUUUUCUUUUUCCUUUUCCUUCUCCUCCUUUUCCUUUUCCUUUUCCUUCUCCUUCUCCUUCUCCUCCUUUUUUCUUUUUCCUUUUCCUUCUCCUCCUUUUCCUUUUCCUUUUCCUUCUCCUUCUCCUUCUCCUCCUUUUUUCUUUUUCCUUUUCCUUCUCCUCCUUUUCCUUUUCCUUUUCCUUUUCAUUUUCCUCUUCCUUUUCCUCUUUCUUUUCCUUCUCCUUUUUCCUUCUCCUUUUUCCCUCUCCUUCUCCUUCUCCUUGCUUUUUUCUUUCCUUCUUCUAUUUUUCUUCUCCUUCUCUUCUUCAUCUUGUCCUUUUUUUUCCCUUUUCCAUUUUUUUUUCCCAUUUUUCAUUUUCCCCCUUUUCCAUCUUCCAUUUUGUCUUUGUUUUAGCAAACAUUAUCUCACAGCCCUUGGAUGGUGUUUUCAGAUGAUUAUAAUUUUGUAUCCCAAAGGCCCCCUGUCUCUCUGUCAUUAUUUUGGCUCCCUGAGCAAAACAAGAGUCUGGGUGCUCUUUUUCUUUGAAUAUGUAAGCAGAACAUUACCUUAUCUUUAGUAGC
rnacentral:lncRNA from 1 species